rnacentral:rRNA from 1 species
UACGUAGGGCGCGAGCGUGUCCGGAAUUAUUGGGCGUAAAGAGCUCGUAGGUGGCCUGUCGCGUCGGCUGUGAAAACUCGGGGCUCAACUCCGAGCUUGCAGUCGAUACGGGCAGGCUAGAGUUCGGCAGGGGAGACUGGAAUUCCUGGUGUAGCGGUGAAAUGCGCAGAUAUCAGGAGGAACACCGGUGGCGAAGGCGGGUCUCUGGGCCGAUACUGACACUGAGGAGCGAAAGCGUGGGGAGCGAACAGG